rnacentral:siRNA from 1 species
UCCUUACAAUCUCAAGAUGGCAGC